rnacentral:misc_RNA from 1 species
GAUGAAGAACGUAGCGAAAUGCGAUAAGUAAUGUGAAUUGCAGAAUUCAGUGAAUCAUCGAAUCUUUGAACGCAUCUUGCGCUCCUUGGUAUUCUGAGGAGCAUGCCUGUUUGAGUGUCAUUAAAUUCUCAACUACACUGACUUUGAAUUGGUGUGGCUUGGAUUUGGGGGGAAAAUUGUUGUGGGCUUUUUGUAUAGUCUGCUCCCCUGAAAUUGAUUAGCGGUACCUUUGUGGAACUGUCUACAGGUGUGAUAAUUAUCUACAUCUUAGACAUCUGCUGGAAUGCUGCUUUCUAAACCUUACUUGUAUUGACAACCUUGACCUCAAAUCAGGUAGGACUACCCGCUGAACUUAAGCAUAUCAAUAAGCGGAGGA